rnacentral:ribozyme from 1 species
UUCCGCACUGAUCCAUACCCAUGGAUCCGAAGCUUCUAGAAGGAUUAUAUAGACACUCAAUACCAUACUCCAACUCAAUACGGUCACGGCGUACAGAUCGGUCACAUAUCUCUCCAAAUAUCUGAGCUUAUUUAGGUAUAUCGGGAAACCCAACCCCUUGGGAAGAUGGGUCCACGGCGUACAGA